rnacentral:rRNA from 1 species
UACGUAGGGUGCGAGCGUUGUCCGGAAUUAUUGGGCGUAAAGCGCGUGUAGGCGGCUCGGUAAGUCUGCUCUGAAAGCCCGGGGCUCAACCCUGGGAGGCGGGUGGAUACUGCUGAGCUCGAGUCCGGAAGAGGCGAGUGGAAUUCCUGGUGUAGCGGUGAAAUGCGCAGAUAUCAGGAGGAACACCGAUGGCGAAGGCAGGUCUCUGGGCUGUGAACUGACGCUGAGGAGCGAAAGCAUGGGGAGCGAACAGG